CGGCCCGGCCCGGGAGCAGAUGUCAGCUGCUGGCGGCCCCGGCGCGAGGCGGGGGCUUCAUGCCGUGACCGGGGAGCCAGAUUAAGAAACAUGAAAGGUUGAGCGAUUGACCUGGGGUAAUACAGCUAUUAAAUAUCUGAGCACUAGCCUACAAAUCAAGAAAUAUGUCAUACAAUGCCACGAGAUAAAUCGGCUCAUUCUGUAGAACCUCAUCACUGCCUCUGACCCUUAUGAGGUGUGAGACAUUGGGCAAACUCAACCUCUUAUAGCCUCAGUUUCCUCAUCUCUUAAAUGGAGAUAAUACCAGUAGUACCUACCUUACAGGCUUAGUGCAAGGCUUAAAUCAGAAAAUGGAUGAAAAGCUCUUUGCCAAAUUCAAUGUGAGAAUAUAAAUGUCAUUAUAUAAUAAAAUUGCCUUGUUUUUAAACCUUAAAAUAUUCUUUGAGUAUUUCUCUACACUUCAAGUGCUUUCCAC